rnacentral:tRNA from 1 species
GCAGGCGUAGCUCAAUGGUUACGCUGUUUGUUUUGUAAGCGGAUGAUCAUGGGUUCGAUUCCCAUCUGCUUCA